AUCAUGGCUCAGAUUGAACGCUGGCGGCAUGCCUUACACAUGCAAGUCGAACGGCAGCACGGGUGCUUGCACCUGGUGGCGAGUGGCGAACGGGUGAGUAAUACAUCGGAACGUACCUUAUCGUGGGGGAUAACGCAGCGAAAGCUGUGCUAAUACCGCAUACGCCCUGAGGGGGAAAGCGGGGGAUCGAAAGACCUCGCGCGAUUAGAGCGGCCGAUGCCUGAUUAGCUUGUUGGUGGGGUAAAAGCCCACCAAGGCGACGAUCAGUAGCUGGUCUGAGAGGACGAUCAGCCACACUGGGACUGAGACACGGCCCAGACUCCUACGGGAGGCAGCAGUGGGGAAUUUUUGGACAAUGGGGGAAACCCUGAUCCAGCAAUGCCGCGUGAGUGAAGAAGGCCUUCGGGUUGUAAAGCUCUUUUGUCAGGGAAGAAACACCGGCUCUAACACAGUCCGGGAAUGACGGUACCUGAAGAAUAAGCACCGGCUAACUACGUG
rnacentral:rRNA from 1 species